CCUACGGGUGUCAGCAGUGGGGGAUAUUGCACAAUGGGGGGAACCCUGAUGCAGCGACGCCGCGUGGGUGAAGAAGCGCCUCGGCGCGUAAAGCCCUGUCAGCCGGGAAGAAAAUGACGGUACCUGAAGAAGAAGCCCCGGCUAACCACGUGCCAGCAGCCGCGGUAAUACGUCGGGGGCAAGCGUUAUCCGGAUUUCCUGGGUGUAAAGGGUGCGCAGACGGCGGUGCAAGCCAGGAGGUAAAGCCCGGGGCCCAACCCCGGGACUGCUCUUGGAACUGCGUGGCGGGAGUGCAGGAGGGGCAGGCGGAAUACCUGGUGUAGCGGUGAAAUGCGUAGAUAUCAGGAGGAACACCGGUGGCGAAGGCGGCCUGCUGGACUGCAACUGACGUUGAGGCCCGAAAGCGUGGGGAGCAAACAGGAUUAGAUACCCGUGUAGUC
rnacentral:rRNA from 1 species